rnacentral:lncRNA from 1 species
UUCAUUGAUUGAUUGAUUCAUUGAUUGAUUGAUUGAUUGAUUGAUUGAUUGAUUGAAUAAGACAACACACUUCAAGAUAAAUAUGCCGGAAUUGCGCACGCUCCCUCAUUAAAAAGUACGUUGCGAUGAGACGGCGGAUUCCAUCUCAGCGAAUGAGCUCACUAGAAUAUCUUUUUUUUUUUUUUUGCUGUAUGAACUUACAAUGCUUACGUUAGCAAAACUGUUCACUAAAUAAUAUCUCUUCUUUAAAUUCAAGCUUGCGCGUACAGCUUGAACGUGCGCGUCCAAAAUAAAUAAUAAAGUGCGCUGCCGCUUAUUAUUAUCAAGUGUGCCGUGCUGCUCGCGUUUCGAAACUCAGCUAUACAACAAUUUUAUUACUCCUCUACAAAACUUACUUUUACUUCUUUUUUUCUAAACGCUGAUGUAAUAUUGUUUCUCUUAUUUCUGUAAGUGGUCGCGAUGCGCACCGUAAUGACUGCUAAUACAAUCUUGCUCGCGGCAAAGAUCUGAUUAGAUAUUCGCAUGACAUAUUCCAUUGAAACCAUCACGUCAACUCGCUUUCAAAUUGGCACAGCGUGCUGCGUUUAGGCCGCAAUCCGAUCGUAUUCCCAGUCUGCGCCUGAAUCCCGUUGCUGUGGUUGCUUUUGGUUUCUUUUUGAAUGUCCUAGAUUGCAGCGGUUUCGUAACGCCGCCAAUACAGGGGUUUACUAGCCUUCUCGUGUUCUCUAUGGCAUUUUUAAUUGUUCAGUUCGCCCUAUAGCAAACACUGCUGUAUACUUUAGCAAAAUAAUAGACCGACCAAUUAUUACGAGAGAACUCAAUACAUUCCUGACGAAACAAUUUAAUCCGUAUCGUCAUAAGGCCUCAGAUAUUUGCUGAAAACGAAAAAAAUACACGUUUCCAUUUGGCUCGAGGCUACAUUCGCAAUCUAUGCUGAGCAGGCGUACUAGACGGACUCGCGUUUGCUCGAUUUAUAUUUAGAUUGGCGAAGCGCCAACACUGGCUUUUACAUGCUCGCAUAUUUGCGUGACUGCUAUGAGCUGACUUCUUUUUUUUUUUUUUUUGCGCAGUUGUGUUUUGAAUGAUGAACACGAAUUUCAUAUAUAAACGUAAUUGUUGCGUACAUUGGUUCCGCUUUACGACCUAAUCACUAGAGCUUGUCAAGUCAAACCAAAUUUCUCGUAUAUUGUGGAAAACUGAGCUGGAAUUCUAGCUGAGUCAACCAGAAAAAAAAAAAUUGAUAUAUAUUUACGUAGUAAAAUGUGGUAAUGACGAACUCUGCUGCGCUUAAGCCUGAUAUAAAUUACCGACUAAUUAGUUAUUGUGUCAAGUCUGAUACUACUUGCACGUCAGCGUUCUUUUUUUUUAUGAUGUUGUCAGUGGGGAAUGUGCAUUUCAGUUUAUGCAGACUGGCAAAUGGGAAAACACUAGAAAAGCCACCUCGGACUUGAGCGCAUAUUUGACAACGAAGCGUGUAGCACGAAAGAUACGCAGAUGCACUCGUUUAAAUAGGCCUUUUGUUUACUCUAUUCAUCAGGUGGUAGCGCUCCUCUGGUGGUGUUUUUCUGCUUGUGUCAGUUCAAGUAGGAAAGCAUGCAAGCUCGCCCA